GCGAGCGUUAAUCGGAAUUACUGGGCGUAAAGCGGGCGCAGACGGUUACUUAAGCAGGAUGUGAAAUCCCCGGGCUCAACCCGGGAACUGCGUUCUGAACUGGGUGACUCGAGUGUGUCAGAGGGAGGUGGAAUUCCACGUGUAGCAGUGAAAUGCGUAGAGAUGUGGAGGAAUACCGAUGGCGAAGGCAGCCUCCUGGGAUAACACUGACGUUCAUGUCCGAAAGCGUGGGUAGCAAACAGGAUUAGAUACCCUGGUAGUCCACGCCCUAAACGAUGUCAAUUAGCUGUUGGGCAACUUGAUUGCUUGGUAGCGUAGCUAACGCGUGAAAUUGACCGCCUGGGGAGUACGGUCGCAAGAUUAAAACUCAAAGGAAUUGACGGGGACCCGCACAAGCGGUGGAUGAUGUGGAUUAAUUCGAUGCAACGCGAAGAACCUUACCUGGUUUUGACAUGUGCGGAAUCCUCCGGAGACGGAGGAGUGCCUUCGGGAGCCGUAACACAGGUGCUGCAUGGCUGUCGUCAGCUCGUGUCGUGAGAUGUUGGGUUAAGUCCCGCAACGAGCGCAACCCUUGUCAUUAGUUGCCAUCAUUCGGUUGGGCACUCUAAUGAGACUGCCGGCGACAAGCCGGAGGAAGGUGGGGAUGACGUCAAGUCCUCAUGGCCCUUAUGACCAGGGCUUCACACGUCAUACAAUGGUCGGUACAGAGGGUAGCCAAGCCGCGAGGCGGAGCCAAUCUCACAAAACCGAUCGUAGUCCGGAUUGCACUCUGCAACUCGAGUGCAUGAAGUCGGAAUCGCUAGUAAUCGCAGGUCAGCAUACUGCGGUGAAUACGUUCCCGGGUCUUGUACACACCGCCCGUCACACCAUGGGAGUGGGGGAUACCAGAAGUAGGUAGGGUAACCGCAAGGAGUCCGCUUACCACGGUAUGCUUCAUGACUGGGGUGAAGUCGUAACAAGGUAGCCGUAGGGGAACCUGCGGCUGGAUCACCUCCUUUCUAG
rnacentral:rRNA from 1 species